rnacentral:rRNA from 1 species
UUAAGCGACUAAGCGUACACGGUGGAUGCCCUGGCAGUCAGAGGCGAUGAAGGACGUGCUAAUCUGCGAAAAGCGUCGGUAAGGUGAUAUGAACCGUUAUAACCGGCGAUGUCCGAAUGGGGAAACCCAGUGUGAUUCGUCACACUAUCGUUAACUGAAUACAUAGGUUAACGAGGCGAACCGGGGGAACUGAAACAUCUAAGUACCCCGAGGAAAAGAAAUCAACCGAGAUUCCCCCAGUAGCGGCGAGCGAACGGGGAGCAGCCCAGAGUCUGAAUCAGCUUGUGUGUUAGUGGAACGGUCUGGAAAGUCCGACGGUACAGGGUGAUAGUCCCGUACACCAAAAUGCACAGGYUGUGAACUCGAAGAGUAGGGCGGGACACGUGGUAUCCUGUCUGAAUAUGGGGGGACCAUCCUCCAAGGCUAAAUACUCCUGACUGACCGAUAGUGAACCAGUACCGUGAGGGAAAGGCGAAAAGAACCCCGGCGAGGGGAGUGAAAAAGAACCUGAAACCGUGUACGUACAAGCAGUGGGAGCACCUUCGGGUGUGACUGCGUACCUUUUGUAUAAUGGGUCAGCGACUUAUAUUCUGUAGCAAGGUUAACCGUAUAGGGGAGCCGCAGGGAAACCGAGUCUUAACUGGGCGUUAAGUUGCAGGGUAUAGACCCGAAACCCGGUGAUCUAGCCAUGGGCAGGUUGAAGGUUGGGUAACACUAACUGGAGGACCGAACCGACUAAUGUUGAAAAAUUAGCGGAUGACUUGUGGCUGGGGGUGAAAGGCCAAUCAAACCGGGAGAUAGCUGGUUCUCCCCGAAAGCUAUUUAGGUAGCGCCUCGUGAAUUCAUCUUCGGGGGUAGAGCACUGUUUCGGCUAGGGGGUCAUCCCGACUUACCAACCCGAUGCAAACUACGAAUACCGAAGAAUGUUAUCACGGGAGACACACGGCGGGUGCUAACGUCCGUCGUGAAGAGGGAAACAACCCAGACCGCCAGCUAAGGUCCCAAAGUCAUGGUUAAGUGGGAAACGAUGUGGGAAGGCACAGACAGCCAGGAUGUUGGCUUAGAAGCAGCCAUCAUUUAAAGAAAGCGUAAUAGCUCACUGGUCGAGUCGGCCUGCGCGGAAGAUGUAACGGGGCUAAACCAUGCACCGAAGCUGCGGCAGCGACACUAUGUGUUGUUGGGUAGGGGAGCGUUCUGUAAGCCUGCGAAGGUGWSCUGUGAGGSWUGCUGGAGGUAUCAGAAGUGCGAAUGCUGACAUAAGUAACGAUAAAGCGGGUGAAAAGCCCGCUCGCCGGAAGACCAAGGGUUCCUGUCCAACGUUAAUCGGGGCAGGGUGAGUCGACCCCUAAGGCGAGGCCGAAAGGCGUAGUCGAUGGGAAACAGGUUAAUAUUCCUGUACUUGGUGUUACUGCGAAGGGGGGACGGAGAAGGCUAUGUUAGCCGGGCGACGGUUGUCCCGGUUUAAGCAUGUAGGCUGGUUAUCCAGGCAAAUCCGGAUAAUCAAGGCUGAGGUGUGAUGACGAGGCACUACGGUGCUGAAGUAACAAAUGCCCUGCUUCCAGGAAAAGCCUCUAAGCAUCAGGUAACAUCAAAUCGUACCCCAAACCGACACAGGUGGUCAGGUAGAGAAUACCAAGGCGCUUGAGAGAACUCGGGUGAAGGAACUAGGCAAAAUGGUGCCGUAACUUCGGGAGAAGGCACGCUGGUGUGUAGGUGAAGCCCCUGCGGGUGGAGCUGAGACCAGUCGAAGAUACCAGCUGGCUGCAACUGUUUAUUAAAAACACAGCACUGUGCAAACACGAAAGUGGACGUAUACGGUGUGACGCCUGCCCGGUGCCGGAAGGUUAAUUGAUGGGGUUAUCCGUAAGGAGAAGCUCUUGAUCGAAGCCCCGGUAAACGGCGGCCGUAACUAUAACGGUCCUAAGGUAGCGAAAUUCCUUGUCGGGUAAGUUCCGACCUGCACGAAUGGCGUAAUGAUGGCCAGGCUGUCUCCACCCGAGACUCAGUGAAAUUGAACUCGCUGUGAAGAUGCAGUGUACCCGCGGCAAGACGGAAAGACCCCGUGAACCUUUACUAUAGCUUGACACUGAACAUUGAGCCUUGAUGUGUAGGAUAGGUGGGAGGCUUUGAAGCGUGGACGCCAGUCUGCGUGGAGCCAACCUUGAAAUACCACCCUUUAAUGUUUGAUGUUCUAACGUUGGCCCCUUAUCGGGGUUGCGGACAGUGUCUGGUGGGUAGUUUGACUGGGGCGGUCUCCUCCCAAAGCGUAACGGAGGAGCACGAAGGUUAGCUAAUCCUGGUCGGACAUCAGGAGGUUAGUGCAAUGGCAUAAGCUAGCUUGACUGCGAGCGUGACGGCGCGAGCAGGUGCGAAAGCAGGUCAUAGUGAUCCGGUGGUUCUGAAUGGAAGGGCCAUCGCUCAACGGAUAAAAGGUACUCCGGGGAUAACAGGCUGAUACCGCCCAAGAGUUCAUAUCGACGGCGGUGUUUGGCACCUCGAUGUCGGCUCAUCACAUCCUGGGGCUGAAGUAGGUCCCAAGGGUAUGGCUGUUCGCCAUUUAAAGUGGUACGCGAGCUGGGUUUAGAACGUCGUGAGACAGUUCGGUCCCUAUCUGCCGUGGGCGCUGGAGAAUUGAGGGGGGCUGCUCCUAGUACGAGAGGACCGGAGUGGACGCAUCACUGGUGUUCGGGUUGUCAUGCCAAUGGCACUGCCCGGUAGCUAAAUGCGGAAGAGAUAAGUGCUGAAAGCAUCUAAGCACGAAACUUGCCCCGAGAUGAGUUCUCCCUGAGACUUUAAGUCUCCUGAAGGAACGUUAAAGACGAUGACGUUGAUAGGCCGGGUGUGUAAGCGCAGCGAUGCGUUGAGCUAACCGGUACUAAUGAACCGUGAGGCUUAACCU